CCAAAGGCUCUUUUCAGAGCCAACCACCUUAUCUUUGAUAGAUG
rfam:Canis lupus familiaris chromosome 35, whole genome shotgun sequence.